UUCAGCUGGAGAACAUGCCAGAGGGUGUCUUCGCAAUUGCGAGCAUUUAGUGGAAUGUCUUCUCUACGUAGUUCGAGCUGCAAUAGAGAAAAACAAUAUUGGAAACAAAACUGUAGAAAAUUGCGUGUAUAUAUUUCGUAAUCUUUCGUAUAGAUGUCAGGAAGUGGAAGAGCCCAACUACGAUAAGCAUCCCUUCAUAACGCAAGAUAGGGCUAUCCCAUCUUCGUCAAAGGGAGAAAAUUUAGGAUGCUUUGGAACAAGUAAAAAAA